GACAAGAUGUGUCCUGUCGUCGUGGAAUCGAACGACGCCGAGUUUGACGAAAAACGAAGCGAACUCGUGUCACGGCUUUCGGUCAUCUCUUAAGCCGCGACUGGAGUUCCUCUUUCCCUGGCUUAAUCGGGACACGAAGCGUGUGCCGCCGUGGAAGAAGCGGCGAUCUCCAGAGUGCCGCGGCGUCGAUGGCGACGCGGUACCCCCGGAUGCCCCCUGUCGGGAGGUCAUCCCGGUACGGGCUGAUCCUGCGGCGCUCGUCACGGUGUCGGUGGUUCAUGCUACUCGCUCGCGGAGUCUUCUCUCUUCCCGUGGAUUCGAACGGCCCUACCAAGUCCGACCACCUCCUCCGUCGGUCUAUCUACGAGGCCAAGGACGGGAUGGGGCGGGGGGAGGCGAUCAGUGGGCGGAGGUGCUCUCGUGGGAACCCAGUGCGUUCAAAUAUCACAAUUUCCUGUCCAGGAAAGAAUGUGAAUACCGAUGGCAAAGCCUCACAUGAAGAAGCCAACAGUUGUUGACAGUACUACUGGUCAGAAGAAAGACAACAGGUUCAGGCAUGUUUUCUUAAAAGAGGACAAGAUAAAUCAUCCGAUCAAUUGAAAAAAUGAUUGCAGAUUACACCUUCAUACCUGCAGUAUGGCACUGAUACCAGUCGCAUGCCAGAUCGGUAUGGCACCAGUACAUACAAUGUAUCGAGGCUUUGUAUGGAUAUGGAUCACUACUGAUUGAUAGGGAGGGAGGGAGGGAUGAGAGAGAGAGAGAGAGAGUGGCAGGGGAUGGGCAGCAACACCGUGAGAGAAGGAGAAGCCGCAACAACAAAAGAAGAGAAGAAGACAGAAAGAAAGGUUAUAACGGAGGCUGGCACUGAGUGAUAGGCUUACUGCUCAGUAUCAACCAAAGAUGGGUGAUGUAUUACACUUCUGGAACAUGAGGCCUGACGCCACUCUAGAUUCAUCUACUUUGCAUAGUGUGUUGCUUAGUAUUUGACCAGCUAAAUCAAAUCUAGAUUUUAAUUGUUUUUGUUGUUUACAGCUAGGUUUCGAUUACUGACUAUAUAUUGAAAUUUUCAUAACGUUAUCAAACCUGGUGCAGGUGGAUGUCCUGUUAUUAGAGGAAAUAAGUGGCCUUCUACAAAAUGGAUGUGCAUGAGCUUAAUUAUAAAACUAAAGAAGGGGUGGGUGUUUCAUGCGGCUGCUGCAUGAGAAGAAUUUUACAUUAGUUUCUCCUCAUGGAUGCCUUUUUGAGUUCUGUAAACUCUCCUUAGAUCACAUAGAGUCUUAGUUAAGGUGUGUUCUCAUCGAGAAUAGGAAUGGUUUAUUUAUCUGAGGUGGUAUUUAUACUUUUGCAGUCAGUUAUACUCCUCAAGAUGCCAUUCUAAAGUUGUUCUUUGUAUUGUACUGAAUUGAACACACAUCAAACAGUAAGCAACUGAUAUGGCAGUAAAAGAGCAGAAGGCAAAUUAGAUGCCUUAGUUUUGUUUUUUGUGCAA